rnacentral:lncRNA from 1 species
GGUGGACUGAGCAAGUGGCGAGGAGUUGUCGUAUGAUCUCGUCGAGAGAAUGCAUUGGUGGAUGCAUUGCGAGAUCAAGUGGGGGAGCGACCUAAAGCAACUUAAAUGAAGGCACACUUGGAGUCGAUGUGGAGAUCGAACUCAAGGGAGGGCUGACCCGUGGAAUGGUGGGCGCGAGGGCCACCAUCGACUCAAUGCAGAAACGAGG